rnacentral:rRNA from 1 species
AUGGCCGCGGUAUUUUGACCGUGCAAAGGUAGCAUAAUCAUUAGUUUUUUAAUUGAAAGCUGGAAUGAAUGGUUGGACAAGAAAAUUUCUGUCUCUAUGUAAAAUUUAGAAUUUUAUUUUUUAGUUAAAAAGCUUAAAUUUUUUUAAGGGACGAGAAGACCCUAUAGAAUUUUAUAUAUUUAUAUGUUUUUAAUGAUUGGAUUUUUUAUUUGAGGAUUAAUUAAAUAUAUUUGGUUGGGGUGAUUGAAAAAUUUAAAUAACUUUUUUUUGUUUGGUUCAUUGAUUGAUGAAUAAUUGAUCCAUAAGUUGUGAUUAUAAGACUAAAUUACCUUAGGGAUAACAGC